AGUUGGUGGAGUGAUUUGUCUGGUUAAUUCCGUUAACGAACGAGACCUCAGCCUGCUAACUAGUAGUGCCUAUCCUCUGUUCCGUUAUCUCUCGUCAUUGGGCGUUCGUUCUGCGUUUCGUCCCUUGAUGUGAGUGGAGCUUCCGGGAUAGGAUAUGGGUUUUACUUCGUAAAGCUCAGUUCGACUUCUUAGAGGGACUAUCUGUGUGUAGCAGAUGGAAGUUUGAGGCAAUAACAGG
rnacentral:rRNA from 1 species